rnacentral:rRNA from 1 species
AUUGAACGCUGGCGGCAGGCUUAACACAUGCAAGUCGAGCGGAGAGAGGUAGCUUGCUACUGAUCUUAGCGGCGGACGGGUGAGUAAUGCUUAGGAAUCUGCCUAUUAGUGGGGGACAACAUUUCGAAAGGAAUGCUAAUACCGCAUACGUCCUACGGGAGAAAGCAGGGGAUCUUCGGACCUUGCGCUAAUAGAUGAGCCUAAGUCGGAUUAGCUAGUUGGUGGGGUAAAGGCCUACCAAGGCGACGAUCUGUAGCGGGUCUGAGAGGAUGAUUCGCCACACUGGGACUGAGACACGGCCCAGACUCCUACGGGAGGCAGCAGUGGGGAAUAUUGGACAAUGGGCGGAAGCCUGAUCCAGCCAUGCCGCGUGUGUGAAGAAGGCCUUAUGGUUGUAAAGCACUUUAAGCGAGGAGGAGGCUACUUCAGUUAAUACCUAGAGAUAGUGGACGUUACUCGCAGAAUAAGCACCGGCUAACUCUGUGCCAGCCGCCGCCGUAAGAC